rnacentral:rRNA from 1 species
AUGAACGCUGGCGGCGUGCCUAAUCCCUGCAAGUCGAGCGAACAGAUAAGGAGCUUGCUCCUUUGACGUUAGCGGCGGACGGGUGAGUAACACGUGGGUAACCUACCUAUAAGACUGGGAUAACUUCGGGAAACCGGAGCUAAUACCGGAUAACAUUUGGAACCGCAUGGUUCUAAAGUGAAAGAUGGUUUUGCUAUCACUUAUAGAUGGACCCGCGCCGUAUUAGCUAGUUGGUAAGGUAACGGCUUACCAAGGCGACGAUACGUAGCCGACCUGAGAGGGUGAUCGGCCACACUGGAACUGAGACACGGUCCAGACUCCUACGGGAGGCAGCAGUAGGGAAUCUUCCGCAAUGGGCGAAAGCCUGACGGAGCAACGCCGCGUGAGUGAUGAAGGGUUUCGGCUCGUAAAACUCUGUUAUUAGGGAAGAACAAAUGUGUAAGUAACUGUGCACGUCUUGACGGUACCUAAUCAGAAAGCCACGGCUAACUACGUG